CAGGGCCUCCAGAUGGUUUGUCAUCCCUUUUCUGAAGGUCUUUGUCUGGGAGGACUGUUUCUCAUGUGGGCAUUGCUGCUGUCAGUAGAAGGUGGGAUGUGGGCAUUGCUGCUCUCAGUAGAAGAUGGGGAGUGUUUGCUGCAUCUGAGGUUCUUCCUGCUGGGCUGCAUGGGAGAGGCAGAUGUGGAGGUACAGCCCUUGCAGUCACAUCCAAGUCCUAAAGUUAUCAGACAUUCAUCUUGUAAGAUCAGAGACUGACUCACGAUAUCUCACUCCUUGAUACCAAGGCAUCUUUACUGCCAAGCACAUGGACUUUUCAAGCCUGACACAGCACACAGCACAGACCCUGAGGGAGGAUGUCGCCAGAGCAGGAGGACUACCAGCCAUUGGUCAGAUGAGUGUGAGGAGAUGUCCAGAUCCAGCAACAGCAAUGCCCUCUCAGGGGUUCCGUGGAUGUGUGUGGGCUCACUGGAGAGAGGUGGCACUUGCUGGUGUCCCCAUAGCCCAUCAGAGAAGCAGAUGCUUCAAGGCUGGGGAAAAGUACCAUGGAACUCACAGCCCUGCAGCACAGCUGAUGCCAGGGUCCUCACCUAGGUCUGCGCUUCCCAGAGCUCUGAAGCAGCAACAGGAGGACCAGGCAUCAUUCCUGUUUGUGGAUGUUCAUCUUUCUGGUGUGCAAGAGCAAUGGCUUUGAGGAGGAACAAGAAUGCCCCUAUUCAAACAGUGGCUGUGCAAGGAGAUGUGAAGUUUCUUCUGCCUUUUCUAGGAUAUUUUAGAAAUAUCUAAGAGAAUAUUGCAGCAUGGAGCAGCUCCCUGAUUUUGUCUCCAGAGAAAUCCCCAAAGGACACAUUCACUCUGCUGCUGAUGGCAACCCCAUAAACUCAUGGACUAGUUUUCCCUGCAACAUGCCACCCUGCCUGGGCUUUACUAGGCCAGGACUAGACCCAUAGCUAAGCAAACACAUGCAGCCAUUUGACAUGAGUUUUUCCUUCAGAAAACCUAAUUAACACAUUCACAUGCAGUUUCUUCUGUCACAUCAGAAGCCAGCAACCAUGAGGACUUUGCUGUCAAAAAGUUACAGUGUGCACUGGGCCCAGAAGUGUAUUUCCUAAAGGAAAAGCAAACUGAAAUGUGAAGUUUAAAAACUUCAAAUGACUAUGAAAGGAAACUGUGGAAUAAUUUCUGGAAAGGCAGAAUUGUCAAUGAUCAUGCAAUCCACCAGGAGCUGGAGCUGAAUCCAGAAUUGCUUGUUCCAGCUAUGCAGGAAUUCCUUAUCCUGGCAAGCACUGGUCUAUGGUAACAAAUGACCCCUCAACUCUGGGCUGAAUGGCACUCAGGCUAAAGUGUUAAUAGAUUUGAGGAACCCUUGUCACUUGUUAUUGUCCUCACAGUCCACUCAUCCUUCUGCAAACAACAAGUUGCAAACAACACAGUUAGACUGCUAUCCUUGGUAAAUAUACAUACAGAUGACUUCUCCAAAGCAGUUCAUCUUUUCCCAGUGAAAUACACAACCUCUUCUUACCCAUGAAAUUGUGAUUGAAGACACCUGGGAGCCAGAUUUGUGUGAGAUUGCAAAGGAGCAAAGUUGGCAUUUGGGCACACUUCUCUUGGUUUCUUUGCUCAGGCCUUUGGUGAGCACAGAAUACAUCCAGGUAGAAAACUUUUGACUGUACAGGAUCUUUUGGGUCCAUUGUCUACCAAACAUGUCAAUGGUGUUUCUGUUGUAAUACCAAGCAACAAACAGUAAACAUGGCAAAUGAGGAAGAGGAGCAGCACAAUGAGGAAAGGAUGUGGUGAGACACUGGCACAUUGAGUGAGCUGCACUCCCAUAACCUCUAGGCUACAGGUCCUGGUAUCACAUUCUCCUUUUGGUUUAUCUACAUUUUAUUUAGUUAGGUUUUUUUAAAUCAUCAAAAUAAAAUAUAUCCAAUUUAAAAGAUGCCAUCAAAAUGUAAAGAUACAAUCAAAACAUAUUUAUUCAAAACUAUGAGAACAUAUGUACAUCUGUAACUAUUCUAAAAAUGUUCUAUAAAAUUCUAUAGAAUUCUAAAAAUGCUAUAAAUCCUAUUCUUGAAACAUCCUUCACAUGGUCAGUAGCUUCUUUCUGAGCUUGGAUGAAAGAGAGCUCUUCUGCAUUGGAGCCAAGGACUUUGAGGGUAAGGGAACAUAGGAAGUGUCCAGAGAAAUAUUCUGGGUAAGAGGGUAGCCAGUCAGACCUGCAAUGUGGAGACACAAAGUGUAACAGAGGCUGCAAUGCAAACACAAAG
rnacentral:lncRNA from 1 species